GAUGAACGCUGGCGGCGUGCCUAAUACAUGCGAGUCGAGCGAACGGACGAGAAGCUUGCUUCUCUGAUGUUAGCGGCGGACGGGUGAGUAACACGUGGAUAACCUACCUAUAAGACUGGGAUAACUUCGGGAAACCGGAGCUAAUACCGGAUAAUAUUUUGAACCGCAUGGUUCAAAAGUGAAAGACGGUCUUGCUGUCACUUAUAGAUGGAUCCGCGCUGCAUUAGCUAGUUGGUAAGGUAACGGCUUACCAAGGCAACGAUGCAUAGCCGACCUGAGAGAGUGAUCGGCCACACUGGAACUGGGACACGGUCCAGACUCCUACGGGAGGCAGCAGUAGGGAAUCUUCCGCAAUGGGCGAAAGCCUGACGGAGCAACGCCGCGUGAGUGAUGAAGGUCUUCGGAUCGUAAAACUCUGUUAUUAGGGAAGAACAUAUGUGUAAGUAACUGUGCACAUCUUGACGGUACCUAAUCAGAAAGCCACGGCUAACUACGUG
rnacentral:rRNA from 1 species